AGCGAACGCUGGCGGCAGGCCUAACACAUGCAAGUCGAACGAACUCUUCGGAGUUAGUGGCGGACGGGUGAGUAACACGUGGGAACGUGCCUUUAGGUUCGGAAUAACUCAGGGAAACUUGUGCUAAUACCGAAUGUGCCCUACGGGGGAAAGAUUUAUCGCCUUUAGAGCGGCCCGCGUCUGAUUAGCUAGUUGGUUAGGUAAAGGAUCACCAAGGCGACAAUCAGUAGCUGGUCUGAGAGGAUGAUCAGCCACAUUGGGACUGAGACACGGCCCAAACUCCUACGGGAGGCAGCAGUGGGUAAUCUUGCGCAAUGGGCGAAAGCCUGACGCAGCCAUGCCGCGUGAAUGAUGAAGGUCUUAGGAUUGUAAAAUUCUUUCACCGGGGACGAUAAUGACGGUACCCGGAGAAGAAGCCCCGGCUAACUUCGUG
rnacentral:rRNA from 1 species